CCUAGGGGUGGCAGCAGUGAGGAAUAUUGGUCAAUGGUCGGGAGACUGAACCAGCCAAGCCGCGUGAGGGAUGAAGGUACAGAGUAUCGUAAACCUCUUUUGUCAGGGAACAAAGGCGGGGACGUGUCCCCGGAUGAGUGUACCUGACGAACAAGCAUCGGCUAACUCCGUGCCAGCAGCCGCGGUAAUACGGAGGAUGCGAGCGUUAUCCGGAUUUAUUGGGUUUAAAGGGUGCGCAGGCGGUCUGUUAAGUCAGCGGUCAAAGCCCGGGGCUCAACCCCGGCCCGCCGUUGAAACUGGCAGUCGCGAGUUGGAGAGAAGGAGGCGGAAUGGGCGGUGUAGCGGUGAAAUGCAAAGAUAUCGCGCAGAAAUCCGAUUGCGAAGGCAGCAUGCCGGGUCCACACGGACGCUGAGGCACGAAAGCGUGGGUAUCGAACAGGAUUAGAUACCCGAGUAGUC
rnacentral:rRNA from 1 species